ACGAGAAAGCCCCUUCGGGGGUGAGUAUAGUGGCGAACGGGUGAGUAACGCGUAAGUAUUUUCCUUUCAGCUGAAGAAUACCUCCGGGAAACCGGGGCUAAUACUGCAUAAUUCCCUUCGGGGACAAAGGUGGCCUCUUGCUGCCGCUGAGAGAUAAGCUUGCGUACUAUUANCUUGUUGGUAGGGUAACGGCCUACCAAGGCGAUGAUGGUUAGCCGACCUGANAGGGUGAUCGGCCACAUUGGGACUGAGAUACGGCCCAGACUCCUACGGGAGGCAGCAGUGGGGAAUAUUGCACAAUGGGCGCAAGCCUGAUGCANCGACGCCGCGUGGAGGAAGACGGUUUUCGGAUUGUAAACUCCUGUUAANAGGGAAGAAAGAGGCGUGGUUAAUACCCGCGCAAGAUGACGGUACCUCUAAAGAAAGCUCCGGCUAACUUCGUGCCAGCAGCCGCGGUAAUACGAAGGGAGCGAGCGUUAUUCGGAAUUACUGGGCGUAAAGGGCGCGUAGGCGGUUUGUUAAGUCAGUUGUUAAAGGCCAUGGCUUACCCAUGGAAAAGCAAUUGAUACUGGCGAACUAGAGGGCAAGAGAGAGGAGUGGAAUUCUCGGAGUAGCGGUAAAAUGCGUAGAUCUCGAGAGGAACACCGAUGGCGAAGGCAGCUCUUUGGCUUGUCCCUGACGCUGAGGCGCGAAAGCGUGGGGAGCAAACAGGAUUAGAUACCCUGGUAGUCCACGCCGUAAACGAUGAUCACUAGAUGUCGGUUUCGCAUAGCGAGAUCGGUGUUAAAGCUAACGCGUUUAAGUGAUCCCGCCUGGGGAGUACGGUCGCAAGAUUAAAACUCAAAGGAAUUGACGGGG
rnacentral:rRNA from 1 species